rnacentral:lncRNA from 1 species
CCAGUAGCCACUUCACCAUCUUCACCUCAGCCAGCAGAAACCCACCCUACGACACUGCAGGGAGCAAUAAGGAGAGAACCCACCAGCUCACCAUUGUACUCUUACACAACAGAUGGGAAUGACACCGUGACAGAGUCUUCAGAUGGCCUUUGGAAUAACAAUCAAACUCAACUGUUCCUAGAACAUAGUCUACUGACGGCCAAUACCACUAAAGGAAUCUAUGCUGGAGUCUGUAUUUCUGUCUUGGUGCUUCUUGCUCUUUUGGGUGUCAUCAUUGCCAAAAGAGGUUCAACAACUAAGUGUUUCAUUUAGCAGCCUUCAAAUUAAAGCUUUGCAAAAUGCAGUUGAAAAGGAAGUCCAAGCAGAAGACAAUAUCUACAUUGAGAAUAGUCUUUAUGCCAC